UACGAAGGGGGCUAGCGUUGCUCGGAAUCACUGGGCGUAACGGGUGCGUAGGCGGGUCUUUUAGUCAGGGGUGAAAUCCUGGAGCUCAACUCCAGAACUGCCUUUGAUACUGAAGAUCUUGAGUUCGGGAGAGGUGAGUGGAACUGCGAGUGUAGAGGUGAAAUUCGUAGAUAUUCGCAAGAACACCAGUGGCGAAGGCGGCUCACUGGCCCGAUACUGACGCUGAGGCACGAAAGCGUGGGGAGCAAACAGG
rnacentral:rRNA from 1 species